CAUUUGUCGUUGAGGUGGGUGGAUUUCUUAAGGGAAUUAACUAAAGGAUCACCUCAAGCCCAUCCCAACCUGCUGCAUGGCAAAUUAGGGUGAGACUUGAAGUAUUUUGGGAGUUGUCCCUCAAAAUUUGAAAUGAUUGAGAGCGCAGUUGGUGGCUGUGACAUUUGGCCCUUCGGGUUUGGAUGUGCGGCAUCACCUAAUUACUGGUUGAUCAAGCACACGUUGUUUAAGACUUAUAUAAAUAGUUCACCUCCUGAUAGUUGAUGCGUUCGUCAGAGAGCCUUUUCCUGUCUUUUUAGAAUCCUGUCGUGAUGGAGCCGUCACCACGAUCAGUGAAGGAGGCAACCAGGAAGAAGGACGAAUACCUGAGGGGGAGGCCUUUGCCCAGAAGAGUGAAGGUCGCCAUGUCGGAACCUCCGAGUACAGGCCAGGCACUACUUUCUCUGAGGGCUCUUCCACUUCUAGGGGGUUGGCCUGCUAGGGCACCAUUGUCGAGGCCUUUGCUGAAGUGCAACUCCACUACAUCACGAAGUACAAGUUCUCCAAGGCCUUCAAGGGGAAGCUUCUCGAUGCUUUCGCCACUGGGUUCAUCUAGAGCUUUGAGAAUUGCAAAGCCUAUUUGAAGUAUAUGAUACUGCAGUUAGACCUGCACUGCCUUAGUCCUGA
rnacentral:lncRNA from 1 species